rnacentral:rRNA from 1 species
CUUUCUUUGCUGGCGACCGGCGCACGGGUGAGUAACACGUAUCCAACCUGCCCUUUACUCGGGGAUAGCCUUUCGAAAGAAAGAUUAAUACCCGAUAGCAUAAUGAUUCCGCAUGGUUUCAUUAUUAAAGGAUUCCGGUAAAGGAUGGGGAUGCGUUCCAUUAGGUUGUUGGUGAGGUAACGGCUCACCAAGCCUUCGAUGGAUAGGGGUCCUGAGAGGAAGGUCCCCCACAUUGGAACUGAGACACGGUCCAA